GGCAAGUAUAAAAAGAAACUAUUAUGGAUGGUUCGCUAUAUAUUUCAAGAUUUAUCUAGCAAGUAGCAAUAGAUAUCAAAGAGAAAUCUUAUAAUUAGACAAAGUGAAUUGAAAUAUCUUAGUAACUUUAGGAAAAGAAAUCAAACGAGAUUGUUAUUUGGUGUCUUCUGAAUAACAAAAGCCUAUUAAAAAAUUAAAAUGGAAAAAAUCUGUUUGAAUAUAGGGGAACCUUCCUCUAAGGCUAAAUAAAAUAUAUAAGCGAUAGCGUAGAAGUACCGUGAGGGAAAAGGCUGAAAUAGUAGUUUUAUAAGCAGCUCGAGUGAAAUUUUAAAUAAAUAAUAAGAGCGUACCUUUUGCAUAAUGGGUCAGCAAGUUAAUUUUAGAUGCAAGCAUAUAAUAAUAAAUAUUAUUGUUUGCUUAGAUAAACCAAUUAUGAAAAAAUGAAUUAGUAUCUAGGAUUAGACCCGAAGGCUAGUGAUCUUACCAUGAUCAGGGUUGUAAAAGCCCGAACGGGUUAUCGUUGUAAAGAUAUCCGAUGAAUUGUGGUAAGUUAGUGAAAGACAAAACUGACUAGUAUAGCUGGUUUUCCGCGAAACCUAUGUAAGUAGGUAAUUUAAUUAACAUCUUAGCAGGUACAGAACUGUGAUCUCGGACAAUACCAUAGGUAUUUGUCAACAUCGGGGGGUUGUAGCGACUUUACCGGAGAGUAUUUGCACUCGGAAGGGCAAAGAUGAAUGUUAAAUAAUCAGACAUAGUGCGAUAAGGUUGUAUGUCUAAAGGGAAACAGCCCAGAACAAGAGUUAAGGUUCCAAAAUUAUUGUUAAGUGAAAUUAAGGAUGUUUUCUUUUAAAACAAUCAGGAAAUAGGCUUAGAAGCUGCCAUUUUUUGAAGACCUCGUAACAGAGCACUGAUUAAAUUUUUAGGAGAAAACGCCGAAAAUUUAACGGAUCUAAAAUAAUAUACCGAAACCUUGUACACAUAAUAUGUGGGGUAGCGGAACAUUGGAUAAAAAAUAUAUACAUUUAUAUUUCUUAGAGAUAUAAAUUAAGGGAUAAAGGUAUAAUAUUAAAAUAUUAGUAUUUCUAUAUUAGUAUUUAAUAUUAUAAAGAGAAUUAGUAAGGGUACUUAAAUAAGAGUACUUGAGAAAGGUCUUUUGUAAUUUUCUUAGGUUAAUUAAAUAGUUCCUUUAUCUUUAGUUUUAGAUAUUACGUAACCUAUAGGUAAUAUUUACUUGAUGUAACUAAAACUAUCUAAAUAAUUUCCAAGAGAGAAUGCUGACAUGAGUAACGAAAAAGGCUUUUAGCCUCGCCUUAAGCUUAUGGCUUCUAUAUCAAACCGGUGUCUAAGAAUAUUAAUCAAAGGAUAAUUUUGAUGAUAUAUAAUAUACUCUUGUAAAUAGAGUAAAAAGUAAAACCUUUAUUAAGUAAUAAAGGUUCUGGAAAACUUUUUACAAAGUUUAUAUAUUAAAUAUAUAUAAUCAGAAACAUAUUACACCGUACCUAGAAUCUAACCCAAGUAAGCAAGUAGAGUAUACAAAGGCGUUUGAGUGAACAAUCAUUAAGGAACUCGGCAAAUUGACUCUGUACCUUCGGAAUAAGGAGGGCCAUUAUUAUUAUGUAUGAUAUAUUAAUAGUAUAUUAUAUUAAUAAUAAGAGGAAUCAUAAAAUAAUGUUGUACGACUGUUUAAUAAAAACACAGCACUCUGCAAAGAUAAAAAAUCAAAGUAUUGAGUGUGAUGUCUGCCCAAUGUCGGCUGGGUAACGGAUUUACCUUGGUUAUUAACUGAGGUUUUGAAGGACACCCCGAUUAAUGGCGGCCUUACCUAUGAGGGUCCUAAGGUAGCGAAAUACCUUGGCCGUUAAAUGCGGUCCUGCAUGAAUGACUUAACGAUACAACAGCUGUCUCGAUGAUUGUCUCAGUGAAAUUGGAAUAGCAGUGCAGAUACUGUUUACCUCUAGAUAGACGAGAAGACCCUAUGCAGCUUUACUGUUACUAAUUACAAGAGUACAAAUUUAGGAUGAUUUAUAGUGUAUAAGGUAGUUGUUAGAUAACAAUGAAACACCUUUAUUCGUAUCCUAUUAUAUUCUCUUGAUGAUUGGGAGGCAGUUUAUGCGGGGCACAGAUCCCACAAAAAGUACCUGGGUAUAUCCAAAGUUCAUAUUGUAAAUUUGUAUAUUUAUAUACAAAUAUUUUAAUUUGUUAUAUUUAUUUUUAUAUUUAUACAGUUACUAUUCGAUUAAAUUCUAUAUUUAUUUUUAUUUUAAGUAAGAUUUUAACUAUAUGGUGAAUAGAUGUAUUUUAAACUUUAAUAUUUAAAAGUUUUUUGUUAUAUUAAUAUUGUAUUUGUCAAUAUUAAUAUGAUGUUUAUUUAUACUUUAAAAGUUUAAUGGCUUAAUCUUGCUUUACUGUUUGACCUACAAGUCUAUCAGUCGCGUAAGCGGGGCAUAUGAUCACAAGAUGCAUUAAGGAAAGGUCUUGGAUUAUAGAAAAAGUUACGCUAGGGAUUUAUAACUGUGAGUCCUCCAAUAUUAUAAAAUAUUGGUAAU
rnacentral:rRNA from 1 species